GACCAUGGCUCAGUGGUAGAGCAUCUGCCUUGUAUACAGUAGGUCCCAGGUUCAAUCCUCAAAAUCUCCAGGGAGGACU